rnacentral:rRNA from 1 species
GCAAUACGGAGCGGCAGACGGGAGAGUAACACGUGGGAACGUGCCCUUCAGUUCGGAACAACCCAGGGAAACUUGGGCUAAUACCGGAUACGUCCGAAAGGAGAAAGAUUAUCGCUGAAGGAUCGGCCCGCGUCUGAUUAGCUAGUUGGUGGGGUAAUGGCCCACCAAGGCGACGAUCAGUAGCUGGUCUGAGAGGAUGAUCAGCCUCACUGGGACUGAGACACGGCCCAGACUCCUACGGGAGGCAGCAGUGGGGAAUAUUGGACAAUGGGCGCAAGCCUGAUCCAGCCAUGCCGCGUGGGUGAUGAAGGCCCUAGGG